rnacentral:rRNA from 1 species
CAUGCAAGUCGAGCGGAAACGAUGGGAGCUUGCUCCCAGGCGUCGAGCGGCGGACGGGUGAGUAACGCGUAGGAAUCUGCCCAGUAGAGGGGGAUAGCCCGAGGAAACUCGGAUUAAUACCGCAUACGCCCUACGGGGGAAAGCAGGGGAUCUUCGGACCUUGCGCUAUUGGAUGAGCCUGCGUGAGAUUAGCUAGUUGGUGGGGUAAAGGCCUACCAAGGCGACGAUCUCUAGCUGGUCUGAGAGGAUGAUCAGCCACACUGGGACUGAGACACGGCCCAGACUCCUACGGGAGGCAGCAGUGGGGAAUAUUGGACAAUGGGGGCAACCCUGAUCCAGCCAUGCCGCGUGUGUGAAGAAGGCCUUAGGGUUGUAAAGCACUUUCAGUAGGGAGGAAGGCUCUGUAGUUAAUACCUGCAGGGAUUGACGUUA